CCUACGGGAGGCAGCAGUGGGGAAUGUUGGACAAUGGGCGCAAGCCUGAUCCAGCGAUGCCGCGUGAGGGAUGACGGCCCUCGGGUGGUAAACCACUUUAGUAGAGAACGAAAAGGAGCUAUCGAAUAAAUAGCUCUGCUGACGGUACUCUAAGAAGAAGCACCGGCUAACUACGUGCCAGCAGCCGCGGCAAUACGUAGGGUGCGAGCGUUAAUCGGAAUUACUGGGCGUAAAGGGUGUGCAGGCGGCGGAGUAAGACAGAGGUGAAAUCCCCGGGCUUACCCUGGGAACCGCAUAUGUGCCUUCUUGGCUAGAGUGCGUCUGAGGGAGGUGGAAUUCCACGUGUAGCGGUGAAAUGCGUAGAUAUGUGGUAGAACACCGAUCGCGAAGGCAGCCUCCUGGGCCGCAACUGACGCUCAUGCACGAAAGCGUGGGGAGCAAACAGGAUUAGAUACCCUUGUAGUC
rnacentral:rRNA from 1 species